UAUGUGGCUCCCCUCCAUUAGGAUAGAGCAUGAGACUCUUAAUCUCAGGCUUGGGGGUUCAAGCCCCACGUUGCUCAA